UAUGGUAGAGGUGUGAAUCUUCACUAAUCUCCAGAUUUGAUUAGAUCACAAUUAUCAUGUCUUCGAUUCAAUAUCACGAUGCAUUACGAUGCAUCAAAUAUAUUUUUUUAUUAAAGCCAUAUAUAUAGGAUAUUUAAUUUAUAGCUUUUCAAGAUAAAAAAAACAAAACAUUUUGCAGGGCUCUAAUAUUAAAUAAAUUGGAUGAAUAAAACUGCAGCACUGAGCACAUGGUACUUCCUGAAUGUGCAAACCAUAACUGAAUAUGUAAACAGAAAUGUUGUUAUGUCUACAAUAAAUUGUAAACAGAAAUAAUCGAUUAUAGCCCAGUCGAUUAUUGAUGCAUCGUCCAUGUCCGCCAUGCGAUGCAUCGGUUAUUUGAUUAAUUUCAACACCUCUACUGCAACCCCAC